rnacentral:rRNA from 1 species
UUCGCAAUGCCCGAAAGGGUGACGAAGCGACGCCGCGUGGGUGAGGAAGGCCUUCGGGUUGUAAAGCCCUGUCAGGAGUUAAGAAAUGUAAGUGCGCUAAUAUCGCAUUUAUUUGACGAAGGCUCCAAAGGAAGUCACGGCUGACUCUGUGCCAGCAGCCGCGGUAAUACAGAGGUGGCAAGCGUUGUUCGGAAUUAUUGGGCGUAAAGAGCACGCAGGUGGGUUUGCAAGUCAGAUGUGAAAGCCUUCUGUUCAACGGAAGAAUUGCAUCUGAAACUGCGAGUCUUGAGUGUAGGAGGGGAGAAUGGAACUUCUGGUGGAGCGGUGAAAUGCGUAGAUAUCAGAAGGAACGCCGGCGGCGAAAGCGAUUCUCUGGCCUAUUACUGACACUCAGUGUGCGAAAGCUAGGGGAGCAAACGGGAUUAGAUACCCCGGUAGUCCUAGCCGUAAACGAUGGGCACUAAGUAGAGGGGUUUU